rnacentral:lncRNA from 1 species
CAGUCCUUUGUGAUUCUUUGUGAUGCCGCGGAUAAUUCAUCCAUGUAAAACUCUUAAUAUGUCUAAAUUUAAUAACAUUAAGCUGAAUAUAUACCAAUUAUGAAAAUAGAGAAUUACAUUGAAAUAAUUUAGUGUUGAUAAAAAGGCGAGUUCCCUUUCGUACGUCAUACGAACACUGAUCCAGUCAUAAUAUUAUAUUGCAAAAUAACCUUAGUUAGAACAAGG